UUUCCGUAGGUGAACCUGCGGAAGGAUCAUUAUCGUAAAACCGAGGUGCGAGGGCUGUCGCUGACCUUUUCGGUCGUGCACGCCCGAGCGCUCUCACACAAUCCACCUCGCCCCUUGUGCACCACCGCGUGGGUCCCUUUCUGGCUCGUCCGGAGGGGGGCUCGCGUUUUCACACAAACUUGAAGUAGUGUAGAAUGUCCUUUUUUUGCGAUAACACGCAAUCAAUACAACUUUCAACAACGGAUCUCUUGGCUCUCGAAUCGAUGAAGAACGCAGC
rnacentral:misc_RNA from 1 species